GAUGAACGCUGGCGGCGUGCCUAAUACAUGCAAGUCGAGCGAACGGACGAGAAGCUUGCUUCUCUGAUGUUAGCGGCGGACGGGUGAGUAACACGUGGAUAACCUACCUAUAAGACUGGGAUAACUUCGGGAAACCGGAUCUAAUACCGGAUAAUAUUUUGAACCGCAUGGUUCAAAAGUGAAAGGCGGUCUUGCUGUCUCGUAUAGAUGGAUCCGAGCUGCAUUAGCUAGUUGGUAAGGUAACGGCUUACCAAGGCAACGAUGCAUAGCCGACCUGAGAGGGUGAUCGGCCACACUGGAACUGAGACGCGGUCCAGACUCCUACGGGAGGCAGCAGUAGGGAAUCUUCCGCAAUGGGCGAAAGCCUGACGGAGCAACGCCGCGUGAGUUAUGAAGGUCUUCGGAUCGUAAAACUCUGUUAUUAGGGAAGAACAUAUGUGUAAGUAACUGUGCACAUCUUGACGGUACCUAAUCAGAAAGCCACGGCUAACUACGUG
rnacentral:rRNA from 1 species